GUACACUGUGCGAACUGCCUGCUUUCCAGCGACGUAGCUUACUGCUCCACCGAUCAACAUCUGGAAAUAAAAUCAAGUUUUUAAUGAUCAGAUAUUCCAUAGAGGAAAUUGACCCUUCAUAUACUAACAGAAAGGAAGGGACACGAUGAUCUCAAGCCGAGGUACGCAAUUUAAGUGUUAAUUCUACGAAAAGUAAGAGUCUGUAGAUUCCAAUGAAUCUUUGAUUAUAUUUAAUUCACACGUUCAUAUUUUUCAGGGACAAUUGCGAACUACGAAAGAUUUACCGAAUAAAGACAAUGCCUCAGAAUCACAAAGGAUUAACUUGGACUUUGGCGAUAAAGCGUGCGUAUCGGAAUAAAAGCACUUACCUUUGUUU